rnacentral:rRNA from 1 species
UACGAAGGGGGCUAGCGUUGCUCGGAAUUACUGGGCGUAAAGCGCACGUAGGCGGCUCUUUAAGUCGGGGGUGAAAUCCUGGAGCUCAACUCCAGAACUGCCUUCGAUACUGUAGAGCUUGAGUUCGGGAGAGGUGAGUGGAACUGCGAGUGUAGAGGUGAAAUUCGUAGAUAUUCGCAAGAACACCAGUGGCGUAGGCGGCUCACUGGCCCGAUACUGACGCUGAGGUGCGAAAGCGUGGGGAGCAAACAGG